ACCAAUAGCAGAGUGUGGAUGGUGUUCCACAUCUCAGUAGCAGCAGUCUAGGGGCGAGGCCCAAGUUAGGAAAGGAGUGAGGGUGGGCUGGGCCCGUAUCUCACUAUCAGCAGGAGUAUGGACGAGGUUCCAUGACUCAUCAGUAGCAGGACACGGGCGGGGCCCAGAGAUAGGCGAGGCCUUAGAGCAANCAGGGGCGAGGCCCAAGUUAGGAAAGGAGUGAGGGUGGGCUGGGCCCGUAUCUCACUAUCAGCAGAAGUAUGGACAAGGUUCCAUGACUCAUCAGUAGCAGGACACGGGCGGGGCCCAGAGAUAGGCGAGGCCUUAGAGUAAGAGCUAUUAGUAUGUGUUUGGCUUAUGUGAUGUUAUGUGUUAUGUUUAUGUGCUAUUAUAUGUUAGUGGGCGAGGCCCUGUGAUAGGCGAGGCCUAAGUGAAACAGAUCUGUAUCCGAGCGGGGCUCGAAGCCAGGCGGGGCCUGGAGCGGCGGGGCCGUUGUAUCGGGCGAGGCCCAGGAUAGCGGGCGUGGCCCAAUAUGUGCAGUAUGUGN
rnacentral:lncRNA from 1 species